rnacentral:lncRNA from 1 species
AAAUGCUACAAUCUGAGGGACCGCCCUAGUAUUUUUAAGGAUCAUUUGUUGCAAAUACGCGUAUCAUCAAUAUGACGGAGAAAUGAAAUGAGUGCGUUCCAAACCGUCCGUGAAACGCAACACUGAGCACUCGGUGACUCCAAAUCUCACACCAGCACUGGCAUCCCUCAUGUGCCCAUGAGGGAAAAAGACACUUGUUUUAUCCAGAUUAGAUGGCAUGAAGGCAGAUUCUUAACCGCAAGUAUCCGUGGGCUGAGAUUCCGGUGACUUUUAUAAUUCACUUAUAGAAUUUUCAUUGUGCUGUCAACCAGAACUCAACUUGCAGAACUAAAAGCCUCAUUUCAGGCAUCCUACAAAGACCAGCAGUUUUUGUUCAUCUUUGUGCUGACUGAAACCUCAACUAGUAAAUCAGAAGAAAAUGAUUCACUGGAAUUGCACCAGAGAAAGGAGAAAAUGGAAUUUGCAUUUUCUGCAGCCCAAGUGUUCUCAUUCCAUAGAAGAAUUCUGAAUACAAGACUUCUUUGUUAAGCAGAUCUGUACCCUUCAAUCCUUUUGCUUUUUUUUUCUCGAGAUACUGAAACAAAACAUUCAGUUUGGGGUUUGAGAGAAACAUUUUGUUCAACUUGACGUAACCAUUUUCAUUUCUAAAAAACUGAAAAAACCCAGAAGAUUAAAUAUAAAUUUGGCCCAAUUAAUUUGAAAUUUGGGAUAGAUACAAAGGAUUGAAGGCCCAUCUAAAAAAUUAACUCAUAACCCUAAUUAACUUAGAUAUUUGCAAUGUUUCAGAGUUCAUAGCCAUGUCAAUACCACAACAAUGCAUUUAUUUCACACCAGAAGCCAAGAGGAAUUAAUGUUAUGGAGGAAAUUAGUACCUCCUUAUGGAAACUUAUAGAAUAGUGAUAUUUUUCCUCACACAUUUACACUGAGCAGCACCAAAUGCAGUAUCAUGUGCAAAAAUCAAUCAUCAUAAUAUUUAGCUAUGUGAAGCGUUCACAGAGCUGGAAAUAAAGGUUAAAUAAUAAAAUUGAUGAUUUUGUCA